rnacentral:rRNA from 1 species
UACGAAGGGGGCUAGCGUUGUUCGGAAUCACUGGGCGUAAAGGGCGCGUAGGCGGCUUUGUAAGUCGGGGGUGAAAGCCUGUGGCUCAACCACAGAAUUGCCUUCGAUACUGCAUGGCUUGAGACCGGAAGAGGUAAGUGGAACUGCGAGUGUAGAGGUGAAAUUCGUAGAUAUUCGCAAGAACACCAGUGGCGAAGGCGGCUUACUGGUCCGGUUCUGACGCUGAGGCGGCGAAAAGCGUGGGGAGCAAACAGG